CGAUCUGGCUCAGAACGAACGUUAGCGGCGCGCUAACACAUGCAAGUCGAGCGAGGAAAGGGCAACCCCGGUAAAGCGGCGCGACGGGUGAGUAACACGUAGGUAAUCUACCCCCAGGUGGUGGAUAACUUCCGAAAGGAAAGCUAAUACAGCAUGGGACCACGACUCCGAAAGGGGUUGAGGUGAAAGUCGGCCUCUUCACGAAAGCCGACGCCAGGGGAUGAGCCUGCGGCCCAUCAGCUAGUUGGUAGGGUAAUGGCCUACCAAGGCGAAGACGGGUAGCUGGUCUGAGAGGAUGAUCAGCCACACUGGAACUGAGACACGGUCCAGACUCCUACGGGAGGCAGCAGGUGGGGAAUCUUGCGCAAUGGACGAAAGUCUGACGCAGCGACGCCGCGUGAGUGAUGAAGGCCCCCUCGGGUUGUAAAGCUCUGUGGAGGGGGACGAAUAAGCAUUGGUUAAUAUCCAGUGUGAUGACGGUACCCUUUUAGCAAGCACCGGCUAACUCUGUGCCAGCAGCAGC
rnacentral:rRNA from 1 species